GAAUUCUAUGAGUAGAGUGACAUCUCUGUGAGUCCACUGUGAUCUCCCAGUGGAAACAGCACAGAGCUCUGGGUGUUGAGAGGCAACCAUCCAAGGAAUGAUUGAGCAGGAGCAGCUGGAAGUCUUUAGUUUCAAUGAUCCACAAAGCCCUAUAAUCCGUUUUGCUGUUCACUGGUUUCAUUUCCAAAACCAGUCAGCCCACAGUCUAAGCUGUAUCUUUAUGAAAUACUCAAAUCUACUGUUAAUCGCCUUUCACCUCAUUCUCCACUUCUUUGAGAGCGUCCUUUGACUUGCACUUCUCAUGAUCUCUUGCCAGCCACCUUCAUUCUUUGGAAAGGUAUGAAGAGCUAUGUGUUUUAUGGCUUGCUUCACCUCCACAUUCAGGAAAAAUCUCUGUGCCGGGAC
rnacentral:lncRNA from 1 species